rnacentral:rRNA from 1 species
AGUCAUAUGCUUGUCUCAAAGAUUAAGCCAUGCAUGUCUAAGUAUAAAUGGAUUAUACAGUGAAACUGCGAAUGGCUCAUUAAAUCAGUUAUAGUUUAUUUGAUAAUAUCUCUUACUUGGAUAACCGUAAUAAUUUUAGAGCUAAUACAUGCGUAAAAGUGCGACUUUACGGAAGCACUGUAUUUAUUAGAUACAAAACCAUCCAGCUUCGGCUGUUACCUUGGUGAUUCAUAAUAACUUAACGAAUCGUAUGACUUUAUGUCGACGAUGAUUCAUUCAAAUUUCUGCCCUAUCAACUUUCGAUGGUAAGGUAUUGGCUUACCAUGGUUACAACGGGUGA